CACUGUGAGGUGGAAUCUGAAGGAAGCUGUAGGCAAAUCUCUGGCUCGACGGACAGAAAUCACAUAUAAGGCUAGGUUCCGUUUGGUAAGUCUGCCGUAAAAGACGAAGCCGUAAAGUUACCGUUUGUAGGAACAGAGUAAAUGUGGCGAGUAGAUGGAGAGAAAGAG
rnacentral:ncRNA from 1 species